ACCUAUACACUAUAUAUAAUUAUAAUAUUCUUCUGGACAUCUCUGACCGCUCGCCAUCGCUGAGUUUAUGGAUUUAUACAAACACUUUAUAUGAUGAAGGGAGAAGAGAACGUGAUUGGUCCCGGCUCGGGAAACAAUGGAAUCUAACAUUUACAGCUGAUCUACAUCUGAGGAAAAAAUCUGUCCGGAGACUUCACAGGAUGAGCUCAGAUACAAAACUUUUAAA